GUCGUAACAAGGUUUCCGUAGGUGAACCUGCGGAAGGAUCAUUACCUAGAGUUUGUAGACUUCGGUCUGCUACCUCUUACCCAUGUCUUUUGAGUACCUUCGUUUCCUCGGCGGGUCCGCCCGCCGAUUGGACAACAUUCAAACCCUUUGCAGUUGCAAUCAGCGUCUGAAAAAACAUAAUAGUUACAACUUUCAACAACGGAUCUCUUGGUUCUGGCAUCGAUGAAGAACGCAGCGAAAUGCGGUAAGUAGUGUGAAUUGCAGAAUUCAGUGAAUCAUCGAAUCUUUGAACGCACAUUGCGCCCCUUGGUAUUCCAUGGGGCAUGCCUGUUCGAGCGUCAUUUGUACCUUCAAGCUCUGCUUGGUGUUGGGUGUUUGUCUCGCCUCUGCGUGUAGACUCGCCUUAAAACAAUUGGCAGCCGGCGUAUUGAUUUCGGAGCGCAGUAUAUCUCGCGCUUUGCACUCAUAACGACGACGUCCAAAAGUACAUUUUUACACUCUUGACCUCGGAUCAGGUAGGGAUACCUGCUGAACUUAAGCA
rnacentral:rRNA from 1 species